GAUGAACGCUAGCGGCAUGCUUAACACAUGCAAGUCGAACGAGGAUCAGAUAGCUUGCUAACUGGUCCUAGUGGCGGACGGGUGAGUAACGCGUAAGAAUCUGCCCCUAGGAGAGGGAUACCAACUGGAAACGGUUGUUAAUACCUCAUAUGCUGAGGAGUGAAAUGGUUUCAUACCGCCUAGGGAUGAGCUUGCGUCUGAUUAGCUAGUUGGUGGGGUAAUGGCCUACCGAGGCAAUGAUCAGUAGCUGGUCUGAGAGGACAAUCAGCCACACUGG
rnacentral:rRNA from 1 species